UUGACGGGACCCGCACAAGCGGUGGAGCAUGUGGUUUAAUUCGAAGCAACGCGAAGAACCUUACCAAGUCUUGACAUCGGAAUGACCGUCCCCGUAACUGGGGCUUCCCUUCGGGGCAUUCCAGACAGGUGGUGCAUGGUUGUCGUCAGCUCGUGUCGUGAGAUGUUGGGUUAAGUCCCGCAACGAGCGCAACCCUUAUCCUUAGUAGCCAGCAGUUCGGCUGGGCACUCUGGGGAGACUGCCAGGGAUAACCUGGAGGAAGGUGGGGAUGACGUCAAAUCAUCAUGCCCCUUAUGAUUUGGGCUACACACGUGCUACAAUGGCGUAAACAAAGGGAAGCAAAGGAGUGAUCCGGAGCAAAUCUCAAAAAUAACGUCUCAGUUCGGAUUGUAGUCUGCAACUCGACUACAUGAAGCUGGAAUCGCUAGUAAUCGCGGAUCAGAAUGCCGCGGUGAAUACGUUCCCGGGUCUU
rnacentral:rRNA from 1 species